rnacentral:rRNA from 1 species
UACGUAGGUGGCGAGCGUUAUCCGGAAUGAUUGGGCGUAAAGGGUGCGCAGGCGGUCCUGCAAGUCUGGAGUGAAACGUAUGAGCUCAACUCAUGCAUGGCUCUGGAAACUGGAGGACUGGAGAGCAGGAGAGGGCGGUGGAACUCCAUGUGUAGCGGUAAAAUGCGUAGAUAUAUGGAAGAACACCAGUGGCGAAGGCGGCCGCCUGGCCUGUUACUGACGCUGAGGCACGGAAAGCGUGGGGAGCAAAUAGGG